GUGUCAGCAGCCGCGGUAAUACGAACCGUCCUAACGUUAUUCGGAAUCACUGGGCUUAAAGGGUGCGUAGGCGGUCCGGUAAGUCAGGUGUGAAAUCCCUCGGCUCAACCGAGGAAUUGCGCUUGAAACUGUCGGACUCGAGGGAGACAGAGGUGAGUGGAACUUAGGGUGGAGCGGUGAAAUGCGUUGAUAUCCUAAGGAACACCGGUGGCGAAAGCGACUCACUGGGUCUUUUCUGACGCUGAGGCACGAAAGCUAGGGUAGCGAACGGGAUUAGAUACCCCGGUAGUCCUAGCCGUAAACGAUGAGCACUAGAUCGAAGGGUCCCUCAUAGCCUUUUGGUCGUAGCGAAAGUGUUAAGUGCUCCGCCUGGGGAGUAUGGUCGCAAGGCUGAA
rnacentral:rRNA from 1 species